GACGAACGCUGGCGGCGCGCUUAACACAUGCAAGUCGAGCGAGAACCAGGACUUCGGUCCUGGGGACAGCGGCGAACGGGUGAGUAACACGUGGGUAAUCUGCCCUCGAUUCUGGGAUAGCCCGGGGAAACCCGGAUUAAUACCGGAUAGCCUUUCGAGCCUUCGGGCGCGAAAGAAAAGGUAGCUUCGGCCUCCGAUCGAGGAUGAGCCCGCGGUGGAUUAGCUUGUUGGGCGGGGUAAUCGGCCCACCAAGGCGACGAUCCAUAGCUGGUCUGAGAGGGCGACCGGCCACACGUGGGACUGAGACA
rnacentral:rRNA from 1 species